CGGGAAUUUUGGGCAAUGGGCGAAAGCCUGACCCAGCAACGCCGCGUGAGGGAUGAAGUAUUUCGGUAUGUAAACCUCGAAAGAAUGGGAAGAAUAAAUGACGGUACCAUUUAUAAGCUCCGGCUAACUACGUGCCAGCAGCCGCGGUAAUACGUAGGGAGCAAGCGUUGUUCGGAUUUACAGGGCGUAAAGGGCGCGUAGGCGGCGCGGUAAGUCACUUGUGAAAUCUCUGAGCUUAACUCAGAACGGCCAAGUGAUACUGCUGUCCUAUAGUGCGGAAGAGGCAACCGGAAUUCUUGGUGUAGCGGUGAAAUGCGUAGAUAUCAAGAGGCACACCUGAGGCGAAGGCGGGUUGCUGGGCCGACACUGACGCUGAUGCGCGAAAGCCAGGGGAGCAAACG
rnacentral:rRNA from 1 species